rnacentral:lncRNA from 1 species
CCGGUUUAAAUCCUAUGGUUGCCUCUUGGCUAUCGAAAGGCAAAAAACUUCUGUUAGAAGUUCCACCAGAGUAUAGAGGGAUGGAAAUUCCUCUAAAAUAUAAAAAGUUGUCAAACAGUGAGGAAAAGGAUGCUGAGCAGACAAAAUGCAACAUAUGUUCAUCAUAUUUCAUAUGGGUAACAAUACCUUUAUUUUGUUCUCAUACUUACUUGGUUCAUUAUUGAAUUCCAGGUAGAAAAUAGUUUAUUUUUCCUUUUGAACUCUGAAAACAUUGCUUCCGGAGGACAGCUCGCGGUGCAUGCAGAGCAAAGUGUGCAGCAGUCGACAAGCCAGCUCCUGCGGGGCCCUUCAUGCUCGCUCUUCCCGGGCGCCCGCUACCCGCUGGCGCCCUCUACCCGCUGGCACUGAGCGGGCCACCUUGUCUCCGGAUCUGCCUCGCGCAGACCCUCCAGCCUCCAACGCCUCACCUCAUCCCUGCCCAGCGCCCCGCCAAGAAUCUCUUUAUUCUGAAAUUUCAUCAGGUGUGGACAGAUGGAAUCGCCACUUAUAUAUGUUAUAAUUUUGCUUUUGAAUAUGUUGGAAUUUUCAUCAGGAAUGGUAUAUGAUAAAGAUGUUAUGGAGAAACAUUUUGCUUGUUCUAACCAAGGGCUCCCCAAAAUUAAUGAAAUAAUGAAGUUGCGUCUAUCCUCAAAAAAUUUGAAAAUCCAGUGUUUUUUCCGAACGGAGAAUGAGCUUAUUUCCAAGGAAAUGCUAAGUACGUUCACAUCUGGAGGACUUGCUCCCACCUUGGAAAUCAUAAAUAGUACAUAUCAUGGCAUCUUCCACUUUAAUUUAACAUUGUUGAAUGAUCGGAUUUUCUGGUUAAUUGAUAUUCCUAGAGAAAACAUCACAAGUAACACGGAUAUUGCUGCUGUAGAAGAAUGGUUAGUAAAGAUCACUUUACAUCAAGGAUUAAAUAUUUAUGCUAUUGAAGGAACCCUAUUGGAUAGUGUUCGAGAACCUAUUCUUCAGUGGAAUCUUGGGGAUGAAAUGUCAUCACAAGAGAUCAGUGUAUUACGUCCACAUGUGAUAGAUCUCAAAGUGACAAAGUGCCCCUGUGCCAAUGAUAUAGCAUUACUUGGCUUCCUUUUGAAUACAAUAUAUAAUGGUGUUUACAUAGGCCUCAGCUCAUCUGGAUUUUGGCAUUAUAGUGAUACGGUGUGGUAUAACAUGACAAAUAUCAUCUAUUCAGCCCUUCGAAGAGAAUACACAGGAUUAUCAGUGAUGGAUAUGGUUUUAACAAAUCAUUUUCUAGUUCUCCUUACCUCUUUGGGUCUUUUUGUAAGUGGAGAUCUUCGUUACCCAUCAGCCAAAGACUUAAAGGUUGACUAUGUCAAAGGAAAAUUAUGGUAUAAUGAAAGGUGUUUUGCUAACAGAGAACAUUUUGAAGUUGAUUAUGUUACUAUCACCUUUGACAGAAACAAGACCCUAAGUGAGGCAAGCUCUUGUUUUUAUAGUAAAGAACCAUUUCUUGAGUGGUUAUCUUGCUUACCUCAUGUUUUCGAUGAUGUAAAAAAUACACUUCCAAGUGAGAUAACAUUUCUUAUUGACCAAGAGCAUAAUACGGGAAUUUACCUCUUCUAUGACCAGCACAAGAAAACUACCACAGCCUCUGUGAGCAUCUUAAAAAACAACCAACCAAGUGUCACACCAAAAUUCCCGCCGUUCCAUUUUCCUUCCUCGUUCUCUCACCCCGUUGGAAUGGUGUUUCAUCCCCGAAGCCACUUUCUAUAUGCUUAUGGCAAUCAGGUAUGGCUUUCAAUGGAUGGCGGCAACACUUUUAAAUUAAUAGCUGACUUUCAUGGUGACAUAAUAAAGAAGAUUUAUCAUUGUUUUUAUACUUCAGAUGUUACUUUUGUUUCCCAAAGUGGAAAGGUUUACCUGACGAAGGCAGGUAAGAAAUUUACUUUUAUUGAUGUAAGCACUACAUGAAGACUAGGGAUUAGAAGACAUAUGAAAUACGUGUCUUAUUAAUCAACUAGUCCUGUGACCUCAAACCUAUUAGGGAUGGUGAAUUUGUAGAAUCUACAAAAAAAGAUCCUAUGAACAGCCUGAAGAAGGGAAACUGUAGAUUCACCACACUACAUUCUCAUUCUCAAUUUCAGUGCUAUUUUACUUUUGUAAAAUCCAAAUAAUAAUAGAUGCUAUUUAUCAAGUUACAAUUGUUCUCAGCCUAUUACAAAUAUCACCUCAUUUAAUAUUCACAACAAUCUUGCCAAAGUAGGGAAUGUUAACUUACUUUUGCUGAUUAAAUAGAUACAACUAAGGUCACACACACAUAUAAGAAAUAGAGUACAUGAAUGAUCUCAAUCUUCUUGAUUUGGUAGUCUUGGGAUUUUGUUGGUCAAAUUUACAUAAUUCCUAUCAGUUUGUUGGCACAACAGCUAACAUGGACUGGUCUUACUAACAAUUGUCCACUUUUUUCCAAUUCAGUUCAAUUUUGUUUAGCAGUGUAGAAGCCUAGAAUAAUAAACGGACGAGGUUCUUAAUUUCUUUCUUUUUGUUGUAUCAGGAAUCAAACUCAGGACCUUGUGCUUUAGAGGCAGGCACAUUGCCACUGAGCUAAAUCAGCAGCCCACUUAAUU